rnacentral:rRNA from 1 species
GACGUCAAAUCAUCAUGCCCCUUAUGUUCUGGGCUACACACGUGCUACAAUGGCCGGUACAGACGGACGCAAAGCCGCGAGGCGGAGCAAAUCCGAAAAAGCCGGUCUCAGUUCGGAUUGCAGGCUGCAAUUCGCCUGCAUGAAGUCGGAAUCGCUAGUAAUCGCAGGUCAGCAUACUGCGGUGAAUACGUUCCCGGGCCUU